CCCAGUGUGGUGUAGCGGGUUGAAUGCUGGACUGUAACUCUAGAGAGGAGGGUUCAAAUCCCAGCUCAGCCA